UGUGGAUUGUCGUGAAGAGUGCACACACACGGCGCAGUAGCAGCAUAGUUAAGACAUUAGGCACCGUUUGACAAUCAACAAACUAGGCCCACAUACAUUGGCCUAUUUGUAACGACUUACUACCGUGCAUACGGCGAGAAUGUGUGAUUAUUUUAGCCGUGAUCAUUGUGCAACCAGGACUGAACGGGCACGACAGCGAUUGAGCCCAAAAACACUGGUGGCCAACCUGUGAGCGCCCGAUCCGGCAGAGGCAGCGUGACUGCGAGGGGGAGACAGAGAAGCGAAAAAAAACCAAAAACAUUGCUGCCUUCUACAGCUUGUGGAGUACACGCGGGUGCGUUUUGGGGAAAGGAACUUGAAAACUCCCGUUACUGGGGGUACGAAAGACAACUUAAGGCAGAAUUAAGUUGGUUUUUACGUCCAGGUUGAAAGAAAAGAGAGAGAGAGAUCGAGAGAUACUAACGUGGUUAACUCGGUACACGCGAGAGGCAGAGCUGCCACGAAUAGAAACUCGGCAGCAGCAGCAGCAGCACGAGCCUGGUCAGGGUAGCACCGCGUGCUCCCCUCUCACUGGACUUCUACCUUACCCCCCUAAGUCUGGCUCGGUGGACCCGUUUUAAACUCGUUUUUACCAGUUGGAUUCAAACCACAGACCGAAGACGGGACUUAACGACGUUAUUCGCGAAGGAGAGAAAUGCCAACGGCGGUGACAAAGAAGAGAUUCAGGGAAUCUUUGUCCAGGCCAUUACCAGUUCUGGCGUAAACACUGUUAUACAAGAGCAUUGACAGUCAGACCACGGCGCUUUAUGUGCACUUAAAGAUGCCGAAAAGUGCUUGCCAUUAGGAGUGCUGCAUGGUGUCUGUAUCAGAGACACUUCGGAAACACUGCGUCAGGUCAUUUCAAAAGCAUUAAAACAAUAACGACAUUUUCCGACGGAGGACAACAGAGAGCUGGAAUAUGAGGUGUUCCAUGGCAACUGAGUCACAGUGGCGCAGUUUGCCGUUGGCAUGUGCAACGAAAUGACACCACUGGCUAACGGUGUUGAUUGGCCCGGCUACAGCUAAUAAUGCAGCAACUGAAGACACAUCUAGAAGGGUGCAGGGGGAACACAGCCGAGGAUCGACCCGCAAAGUACCCAACUUGCAGUCCCCAUGCACCCUCUGAUGUGGCAGAUGGAUGGGGAUAUGCAGGAAGCGGGGAUCUUUGGCGGGGAUGGGCUUGGAUGACAGGCCCUUUCUGCCUCAGAAGGGCCGUGGUGGCCCUGGCUUCCAGCAGCCCCUGUGUCCCCCCCUGACAGGGCCCUGAUGCCUUCUGAGAGCAUUGUGUUGACAGCCCGUCAGGGGUUCACGACGCAAAGCUCAGUAAAAAAAGGACCAGACCAGACAAAGGGAGGGAGGGCAGUGCCCUGGACAUUUUAUCAAAUAAUGUAUUAAAAAGAAUUCCGUCAGACUGCAGCUUGUAUGAGCCUACAUGUGACAUGAUGUGAGUUGGUUGAAUGCAGCUAUACAGGUAAAUGUCCACUGUUUCCCAAACCGCAAAACAGAGGCCGGAAAUGGAGAGGUUUUUUAUUUUAUUUCCUAGAAUGCCUUGACAGCUGAUGUGUUUCAAAAAUCUUCGAUUCGAUUAAAGCCAAAAUGACACAAGUGAAGGCAAGUGACUCUUUUAUAGUAAAUUACUACCAUUGAGCCAUUCC
ensembl:lncRNA